GACGAACGCUGGCGGCGUGCUUAACACAUGCAAGUCGAACGGUAAGGCUCCAGCUUGCUGGGGUACACGAGUGGCGAACGGGUGAGUAACACGUGGGUGACCUGCCCUGCACUUCGGGAUAAGCCUGGGAAACUGGGUCUAAUACCGGAUAGGACCUUGGUGUGGAUACUGUGGUGGAAAGUUUUUUCGGUGUGGGAUGGGCUCGCGGCCUAUCAGCUUGUUGGUGGGGUAAUGGCCUACCAAGGCGGCGACGGGUAGCCGGCCUGAGAGGGGAGACGGCCACAAGGGGACUGAGACACGGCCCAGACGCCUACGGGAGGCAGCAGUGGGGAAUAUUGCACAAUGGGCGGAAGCCUGAUGCAGCGACGCCGCGUGGGGGAUGACGGCCUUCGGGUGGUAAACUCCUUUCACCAUCGACGAAGAGUUUCUGACGGUAGAUGGAGAAGAAGCACCGGCUAACUACGUG
rnacentral:rRNA from 1 species